ACGGGAGGCAGCAGUGAGGAAUAUUGGUCAAUGGGCGCAAGCCUGAACCAGCCAAGUAGCGUGAGGGAUGACUGCCCUACGGGUUGUAAACCUCUUUUGUUUGGGAAUAAAGGAGCCUACGCGUAGGCUUUUGCAUGUACCUUUCGAAUAAGCAUCGGCUAAUUCCGUGCCAGCAGCCGCGGUAAUACGGAAGAUGCGAGCGUUAUCCGGAUUUAUUGGGUUUAAAGGGAGCGUAGGCGGCCGGUUAAGUCUGCGGUCAAAUGUCAGGGCCCAACCUUGGCAUGCCGUGGAUACUGUCCGGCUUGAGUGCACACAAGGAAGGUGGAAUUCGUCGUGUAGCGGUGAAAUGCUUAGAUAUGACGAAGAACACCGAUUGCGUAGGCAGCUUACCAAGCCGUAAAUGACGCUCAUGCACGAAAGUGCGGGGAUCGAACAGGAUUAGAUACCCUGGUA
rnacentral:rRNA from 1 species